GUCUCGCUCACUAUUCCCCAUCCCAAACUGCGGCAACCUCUCCCAGGUCUAGCGGCGCAGGACCUGGCCGGCGGCGAUGGUUCUGGAGCACUUCUUCGAGUUCCUACAGGGCAAGCGGCACGGGGCCAAGACGGCGAUGCGGGAGCUGGAGAUCUCCCUGCGGGCCAAGGACCCGGUGACCCCGCUGGAGGAUACAGAGAUUCAUUCCAUCACCACAGAAGCAACCCUGGCCUUUCUUCU